GUAGGGAAUAUUGCACAAUGGGCGAAAGCCUGAUGCAGCAACGCCGCGUGCGCGAAGAAGGCCUUCGGGUCGUAAAGCGCUUUUCGGGGAGAUGAGGAAGGACAGUAUCCCCGGAAUAAGGCUCGGCUAACUACGUGCCAGCAGCCGCGGUAACACGUAGGAGCCAAGCGUUAUCCGAAUUCACUGGGCGUAAAGCGCGUGUAGGCGGCCUGAUAAGUUGGAUGUGAAAGCUCCUGGCUCAACUGGGAGAGGACGUACAAUACUGUCAGGCUAGAGUAUGGCAGAGGGAGGUGGAAUUCCCGGUGUAGUGGUGAAAUGCGUAGAUAUCGGGAGGAACACCAGUGGCGAAGGCGGCCUUCUGGGCCAAAACUGACGCUCAGACGCGAAAGCUAGGGGAGCGAACGGGAUUAGAAACCCCAGUAGUCC
rnacentral:rRNA from 1 species